AACCUGAAACCGUGUACGUACAAGCAGUGGGAGCACGCUUCGGCGUGUGACUGCGUACCUUUUGUAUAAUGGGUCAGCGACUUAUAUUCUGUAGCAAGGUUAACCGAAUAGGGGAGCCGAAGGGAAACCGAGUCUUAACUGGGCGUUAAGUUGCAGGGUAUAGACCCGAAACCCGGUGAUCUAGCCAUGGGCAGGUUGAAGGUUGGGUAACACUAACUGGAGGACCGAACCGACUAAUGUUGAAAAAUUAGCGGAUGACUUGUGGCUGGGGGUGAAAGGCCAAUCAAACCGGGAGAUAGCUGGUUCUCCCCGAAAGCUAUUUAGGUAGCGCCUCGUGAAUUCAUCUCCGGGGGUAGAGCACUGUUUCGGCAAGGGGGUCAUCCCGACUUACCAACCCGAUGCAAACUGCGAAUACCGGAGAAUGUUAUCACGGGAGACACACGGCGGGUGCUAACGUCCGUCGUGAAGAGGGAAACAACCCAGACCGCCAGCUAAGGUCCCAAAGUCAUGGUUAAGUGGGAAACGAUGUGGGAAGGCCCAGACAGCCAGGAUGUUGGCUUAGAAGCAGCCAUCAUUUAAAGAAAGCGUAAUAGCUCACUGGUCGAGUCGGCCUGCGCGGAAGAUGUAACGGGGCUAAACCAUGCACCGAAGCUGCGGCAGCGACACUAUGUGUUGUUGGGUAGGGGAGCGU
rnacentral:rRNA from 1 species